rnacentral:rRNA from 1 species
AUACGGAGGGUGCAAGCGUUAAUCGGAAUUACUGGGCGUAAAGGGUACGUAGGCGGUUAAAUAAGUUGGAUGUGAAAGCCCCGGGCUCAACCUGGGAACUGCAUUCAAAACUGUUUGACUAGAGUGUAUGAGAGGUUGGCGGAAUUCCAGGUGUAGCAGUGAAAUGCGUAGAUAUAUGGAGGAACAUCAGUGGCGAAGGCGGCCAACUGGCAUAACACUGACGCUGAGGUACGAAAGCGUGGGGAGCGAACGGGAUUAGAAACCCCGGUAGUCC